rnacentral:rRNA from 1 species
UACGUAGGGGGCAAGCGUUGUCCGGAUUUAUUGGGCGUAAAGAGCGUGUAGGCGGCUUGGUAGGUCCGCUGUGAAAACUCGAGGCUCAACCUCGAGAUGUCGGCGGAAACCACUUGGCUAGAGUCCGGAAGAGGAGAGUGGAAUUCCCGGUGUAGCGGUGAAAUGCGUAGAUAUGCGGAGGAACACCGAUGGCGAAGGCAAUCCCCUGGACCUGUACUGACGCUCAUGCACGAAAGCGUGGG